rnacentral:tRNA from 1 species
AAUAAAUAACUAAAUAUAAAGUUUAUUAUUUACACUAAUAAAAUGAUUUUUUAAAAAAUCUUUAUUUAU